ACGCACGCUGGCGGCGUGCCUAAUACAUGCAAGUAGCACUCUGAAGGAGGAGCUUGCUUCUCUGGAUGAGUUGCGAACGGGUGAGUAACGCGUAGGUAACCUGCCUGGUAGCGGGGGAUAACUAUUGGAAACGAUAGCUAAUACCGCAUAAUAGCAGUUGUUGCAUGACAACUGUUUGAAAGGUGCAAUUGCACCACUACCAGAUGGACCUGCGUUGUAUUAGCUAGUUGGUGGGGUAACGGCUCACCAAGGCGACGAUACAUAGCCGACCUGAGAGGGUGAUCGGCCACACUGGGACUGAGACACGGCCCAGACUCCUACGGGAGGCAGCAGUAGGGAAUCUUCGGCAAUGGACGGAAGUCUGACCGAGCAACGCCGCGUGAGUGAAGAAGGGUUUCGGAUCGUAAAGCUCUGUUGUAAGAGAAGAACGAGUGUGAGAGUGGAAAGUUCACACUGUGACGGUAUCUUACCAGAAAGGGACGGCUAACUACGUG
rnacentral:rRNA from 1 species